CCAGCAUCAGUUUGGCGCGGGGGAGAAAGGCUUCGGGAAUGUGGCUCCCCCUGGGAGUGUUAUAGCCCGUUGCGCAAUACCCUGCGCUGGACUGAGGUACGCGCAUUCGCAAGGAUGCUGGCGUAAUGGUCAUCAGCGACCCGUCUUGAAACACGGACCAAGGAGUCGUCUUCGUAUGCGAGUGUUCGGGUGUCAAACCCCUACGCGUAAUGAAAGUGAACGCAGGUGAGAGCUUCGGCGCAUCAUCGACCGAUCCUGAUGUUCUCGGAUGGAUUUGAGUAAGAGCAUACGGGGCCGGACCCGAAAGAAGGUGAACUAUGCCUGUAUAGGGUGAAGCCAGAGGAAACUCUGGUGGAGGCUCGCAGCGGUUCUGACGUGCGAAUCGAUCGUCAAAUAUGGGCAUGGGGGCGAAAGACUAAUCGAACCUUCUAGUAGCUGGUUUCCGCCGAAGUUUCCCUCAGGAUAGCAGUGUUGAACUCAGUUUUAUGAGGUAAAGCGAAUGAUUAGGGACUCGGGGGCGCUAUAUUGCCUUCAUCCAUUCUCAAACUUUAAAUAUGUAAGAAGCCCUUGUUACUUGAUUGAACGUGGGCAUUCGAAUGUAUCAACACUAGUGGGCCAUUUUUGGUAAGCAGAACUGGCGAUGCGGGAUGAACCGAACGCGAGGUUAAGGUGCCGGAGUGGACGCUCAUCAGACACCACAAAAGGUGUUAGUACAUCUUGACAGCAGGACGGUGGCCAUGGAAGUCGGAAUCCGCUAAGGACUGUGUAACAACUCACCUGCCGAAUGUACUAGCCCUGAAAAUGGAUGGCGCUCAAGCGUCCCACCCAUACCUCGCCCUCAGGGUAGAAACGAAGCCCUGAGGAGUAGGCGGACGUGGAGGUCAGUGACGAAGCCUAGCGCGAGCCCGUCAUGUCUUUC
rnacentral:rRNA from 1 species